AUUUUCACACACACACACAGCAGUUGCUCUUUAAAUAUAUAUAUACGUGUGUGUGUGUCUUGUGGUGUAUAUAUUAUAGGGUGUCGAAAUAAUUGUGUACGUUGUAUAUUUUUAGGGAAUUGCAGAGAGAAGGUUUUAUUAAAAAGGUAAAUUAAACCAGUGAAAUAUGUUGUCCAGCCUUGUUAAACAGCAUUUGACUCAACAACAAGCCAGGAAGGAACUGCAAGAAAAAAGGAAAGCAGAAGUAUGGCAUCAGCAACUGCCCUCACCCAUGCUCUGGUUGACCAUCUGAAUUCGGGGUGAAUACCAUUUUAUUUUCAUUUCUUUAUUUGUUUGUUUUAAAUCUCUUUAAAUUGUUUUAGGGUCUCCUUGCCUACCUGACGUCAUCGAAACAGCAAUAAUUCCUUGGAAGCCA